GGANNCNUGUGGUUUAAUUCGAUGCAACGCGAAGAACCUUACCUACUCUUGACAUCCACAGAAUUCGGCAGAGAUACCUUAGUGCCUUCGGGAACUGUGAGACAGGUGCUGCAUGGCUGUCGUCAGCUCGUGUUGUGAAAUGUUGGGUUAAGUCCCGCAACGAGCGCAACCCUUAUCCUUUGUUGCCAGCGCGUNAUGGCGGGAACUCAAAGGAGACUGCCGGUGAUAAACCGGAGGAAGGUGGGGAUGACGUCAAGUCAUCAUGGCCCUUACGAGUAGGGCUACACACGUGCUACAAUGGCGUAUACAAAGAGAAGCGAACUCGCGAGAGCCAGCGGACCUCAUAAAGUACGUCGUAGUCCGGAUCGGAGUCUGCAACUCGACUCCGNGAAGUNGGAAUCG
rnacentral:rRNA from 1 species